CGGGGUGUGGCGCAGUUGAUAGCGCGCGCGGUUUGGGACCGCGAGGUCGCUGGUUUGAGUCCAGUCACCCCGACCA
rnacentral:tRNA from 2 species